AUUGAACGCUGGCGGCAUGCUUUACACAUGCAAGUCGAACGGCAGCGCGGGCUUCGGCCUGGCGGCGAGUGGCGAACGGGUGAGUAAUGCAUCGGAACGUGCCCAGUAGUGGGGGAUAGCCCGGCGAAAGCCGGAUUAAUACCGCAUACGACCUGAGGGUGAAAGCGGGGGACCGAAAGGCCUCGCGCUAUUGGAGCGGCCGAUGUCGGAUUAGCUAGUUGGUGGGGUAAAGGCUUACCAAGGCGACGAUCCGUAGCUGGUCUGAGAGGACGACCAGCCACACUGGAACUGAGACACGGACCAGACUCCUACGGGAGGCAGCAGUGGGGAAUUUUGGACAAUGGGGGCAACCCUGAUCCAGCCAUGCCGCGUGCGGGAAGAAGGCCUUCGGGUUGUAAACCGCUUUUGUUCGGGAAGAAAUCCUCUGGGCUAAUACCCCGGGGGGAUGACGGUACCGGAAGAAUAAGCACCGGCUAACUACGUG
rnacentral:rRNA from 1 species